UUAAGUCCGCAACGAGCGCAACCCUUAUCUUAAUUGCCAGCAUUCAGUUGGGCACUUUAAAGAGACUGCCGGUGUUAAACCGGAGGAAGGUGGGGAUGACGUCAAGUCCUCAUGGCCUUUAUGCUUAGGGCUACACACGUGCUACAAUGGGUGGUACAAAGAGAAGCCAACUCGCGAGAGCGCGCCAAUCUCAAAAAGCCAUCCUCAGUUCGGAUUGGAGUCUGCAACUCGACUCCAUGAAGUUGGAAUCGCUAGUAAUCGCGGAUCAGCAUGCCGCGGUGAAUACGUUCCCGGGCCUU
rnacentral:rRNA from 1 species